GAAUUUAUACCACUCGGAAUAAUUAUUACAAUUUACAAAAUAAUAAAUUAAUAUUGUUGUCAUAUUUUUGUAUGACUUGUGUAAUAGAGUACACAUUAUUUACUGGAGAAAAAUGUAUGCUUUCACAGGGAGCUCUCUAAUGCUACGAGGAUCCGGUUAAAGUUGUAAAUGCACAUGUAUCGGCCAUCUAUUGGAUUUUUGUUACAUUUAUUUAGGAAAUCUGUUUUAUUCACAAUUUCUAUGAUGAGCCUUGUCGCAACCAGGUGGCACGACACGACAAUGUUUAGUACAACCACUUGGCCAACCUUAACAUACGAAAUCUCAUAUCCAGUUCUGCAAAAUGUCCCGGACCCCACCAAGGCAUCCUAGGAAACGAACUCGCGGAUAAAGAGGCGAAAAACGCAACGGUUUCAGGCAUUGAUCUCACCUCCACACUCCUCACUACAGCAACAGACUUUAAAAAGAAAGUCAAAAACCACAUCACGACCAAAUGGAAUGACCUCUGGAUCAAUGGACAAUCUCACCUCCAUCUUAUUCGAGAAAAUACAAUGGAAACAAGACCUCAACUGGAAAAAAGAACAGACCAAUGUCAAUUGAACAGACUGAGAAUAGGACACACUGUCUUUUCUCACAGUCAUCUACCAAGUAAAACAAAUCCCAAACCAUGCCCAGCCUGCAAUCAACCCGCCUCAGUAAACCACAUCCUGACGACAUGCUCACAACUCAACAUUCUAAGAAGUCAACAUCAGAUUCCAGCCAAUCUUCAGACUGCUCUCAACAGUGAAAACGUCUACCCACGAAUAAUAAAUCUUCUAAAACAACUACAACUACUAUGCUAAUUCUAAUACUAUAUAUUACAUUAUCUCAAACCCUUUAAACUAUGUUACGUUAAUGUUCAGUACUAAAUUAUGUUAUGUUAUGUCCAUAUGUUAAAAAUAUGUUGUUAAUGCUUACACAAAAAAUUUUUUUUCCCUUUUCUUUUCCUUAUCUAUGUAUUACAUUUUUUGUUUAAACCUAAUAACCUGAUAAUGUACUUAACCCUUCGUUGGUCGCGCUAUGAGCGAUUCCCCGCUUUUUUUUUUCAAUUCGUUAUAAAAAAAAAAAUAAUUUUUUCCAGCCUUAAAAAAUUUAGCUAUUCCUUCUUCAAUUCAUUUAGCAUGCACCUAAACAGUUUUUAAAGUUGUAGGUAUUUUUAUUAAUUAGAUAUUAAAUAAUAAAUGUCGUAAGAACAUGGAAUCGCGGCGAUUCCCCGUAAGCGCGACCAAACCCGACCAUGAAAUUUUAUUCGCAGCAUUGCCAAUUAUAUGAAACUUGAAUAAAUAAAAACAAUAUGGCCGUCAUCAGCUGUUAUAGUUGUUAUGCGCAUGUCCCAUAAAGUUAUUUAUUUAAUUUAUUUGUGCAAUGUUAUUGUAAGUAAUUUUAAUAUAAAAAUAAAAAUAUAAAUAAAUAAAUAUAAAUAAAUAAAUAUCAUUACGUGGAUUGGAUCACAAGAAUAAUAAUAUUACUACUGUGACUACAAAAGUAUUUAAUACUUUACUCAUCAAAGCAUUAAACCGCCAGUGCAAAUCCACAACGUUCUCAUUUAAAAAAUAUCAGUGUUCCAUCAUGCAACCUUCCUCAAACAUCAUUGGCAUCCGGUAAUCAACCAAAUGUAACUCAAGUUGAAAGCAGAAACGAAAGACAACGUCAAAGAUCAUUGAAAAAAAAAUUAUCUGUUAUCACUGAUGCAUCUGAAACUAUUUCUACAUCAACUCAAGAUGACAACAUAGAAGACGAUAAUUUGAGGAAUGAUGAUCAAUUAACUGUUGAAGUAACAUCAGAGGAUUUGCUGCUUGACAAGGUGUUUGAUGAUAAUGUAAGAAGACAAAAGAAUAACUUGCUUAUUAAAAAUUGUGAUGUUGCGAUUCAGGUUGAGAGUGAAUACUUGACUCCCAAAUUAUCAAGUAAAAUAAAAGCUGAUAAACAAUUAAGUACAUUAACUGGAUUAUCUAAUUUUCAAAUUUUAUUGGCAAUCGAGAAGUUAAUCAUCAAUAAUAUUAUACACACUAUCAGAACUGUUAUCCGUUUGUUGUAUGCCACAUUUAAUCAAAUGUCCCGCAUCAAGAAUACUUUCACCACCAAUAAAAUUUUUAUGACUCGGCUGAGUAUUAGCAAACUUACAAAUUUCUUCAAUUAAAACUUUCAUUAUUAAUAAAAAUUUUACUCAAAAUUCGAUUUUAAUGUGACUUAUAAGUACACGAUUCAACAUCAAUACAAGACAGCUGAUUUAAAAAUGCGUCUUAGAGUAGUAACCGCUUCUGCCGCAAGGAGAAGCCACGCCCCCGGCAGAUUUCCCAAUAGUAAAUU